CUCAACUAAUGGGAGCGUCGCCGGUGUGUGAGAAUUAAGCUCACAGUUACGAGAUGGUGAAAAUCCCCGGAG
rnacentral:ncRNA from 1 species